rnacentral:lncRNA from 1 species
GGCCGCGCGCACGUGAGCGCGCUGCUCCGCCUGUCUAAUUUUAGCUCUGAGGUGUCAGGGUCGUGCGAGGUGAGGCGGCGGGGUCGCAACGGGCUCGGGUGGGAUCCUCACGUGACCCCGUGAGGCGGCAUGCUCAGGUGGGGGUUCCCCUCAGGACUGGGGGGCCGGAGUCACGUGAGGUGAGGCGGGUCGUGAUGGGUUUGGAUAGGGGUCCCCUCGCGACGAGGAUGGGGUUGCAUGAGGUGAGGCGGCAAGCCCUGGUCCUCUUGGUGAGCGGGGUCUUCAGGUCACGUGAAGUGACUGCACAGGGUCUCCACAGCUCGGACACGAGACCCCUCAGGAGUGGGUCGCCAGGUUCAUCUGAGGUGAGGCGUUGUGUGGGGUGUCCUCUCCGGGUCACGUAGGUGCACCCGUGGGGUCAGUCGGCAGAGCCCGGGGCAGCUGAGCCCGACUGUGUGGACAGCCCUUGCACUGCAGGUCCAGAGCCGAUGUCAGUCAGAGAGGUGUGGCAUCUGGGUCUGUGGGCCACACCUCUUUCAACCGAAGCAAGUUCUAGAAAGUCCCCUGGUGGGUGAAACUUAUCAGAGUUCACGUUUAGGUAGUGUUGGAUUGUAAUGAAAACUUGUGAAGAGCGAGAGUAAACGUGGUGGCUGACCCUGCGACCAGCUGAGGAGACCCUGGCCCGGGGUCUUACAAAGGGGCUUCCGAGAUCUGUAUCUUCCCAGCAGAACUCAACGAUGGUUUCCUGCAUGUCUGUGAGGAGUGGAGGAGGACAUGUCUGUCAUCCAGAGUAACCGGGUCAAGGAUGUGUGGUUAGAUUGGAAGGGAAGACAUCUGCUUGCAUCAGCUCCACUUUGAAGACAGGGGGUGCACUGACCCCCACCCUCUCUCCCAUCUCACAUGAGGAUGACCAGAGAGUGUUGGUGUUCGAGAUUUGCCAUAAUGUGUGGAAUCAGGAACCAGAUAAAAGUUUAGUGUUGAAGAAAUGAAUGCCAGGCACCUUGUAAAAUUGGCACCGCAGCCCUGUCAUCAGAAAGUGAGCUGUUCUUUUGACACACAGAGUUGUUUGCCAUGUCACAGUGACCUGCAUUCUGUUAGUGAGGGAGCCUCAGGUUUCACAUGGGUUGUCUCUGUAUAAGCUGUAAAAUGAUAGCCUUUGGCCUUUAUGGUAUUGGGAAACUUGAAGUGUUUAAUGAUAAAAGUGGUUUCUAGUGGUUGAGUGCUUCAGUUUCUUCUUUCCAACCCCCUAUCCCCACUUUUUAAAAGAAAGGUUAAUCGUGGAGAAUGUGACAAGAAUGAGAGAAUCUGGUGUGUUCUUUCGUUUGCAUUCCAAAAAUAAAUACAACCCUUCUGAGUUCAUAUGCAAACAUGGUUGUGCAAACAUUUUAGAGCUUUAGUCCCUGUAAUUAUCCACCUCUAACCAGUUUAAAGGACCUGAAGGUUGGGCUGGAGAGAUAGAUGACUUAGCAGUUAAGAGCACUGGCUGCUCUUCCAGAGGACCACCUGGCAACUCACAACUGUCUGUAACCCCUGUUCCAGGGGACCAACUCCCUCAUACAUGCAGGCAAAACACAAUGUAUAUAAAAUUAAAAUAUUAGAAAAGACUUGAAGAUUAAAAUCCAGUAUUGGCAUUUUAUAUAGCAAUAGCUGGCUCUUGACCAGUGUUUCAACCU